rnacentral:rRNA from 1 species
UACGGAGGAUCCAAGCGUUAUCCGGAUUUAUUGGGUUUAAAGGGUGCGCAGGCGGAAGAUUAAGUCGGCGGUGAAAUUUUGCAGCUCAACUGUAAAAGUGCCAUCGAUACUGGUUUUCUUGAGUGUGGAUGAAGUAGGCGGAAUUUGUGGUGUAGCGGUGAAAUGCAUAGAUAUCACGAGGAACUCCGAUUGCGCAGGCAGCUUACUAGGCCAUAACUGACGCUCGGGCACGAAGGCGUGGGGAUCAAACAGGAUUAGAUA